UGCCAAGAUGCCUGAGGAAACCCAGAC
rnacentral:piRNA from 1 species